CCUACGGGAGGCAGCAGUGGGGAAUAUUGCACAAUGGGGGAAACCCUGAUGCAGCGACGCCGCGUGAGUGAAGAAGUAAUUCGGUAUGUAAAGCUCUAUCAGCAGGGAAGAAAAUGACGGUACCUGAGUAAGAAGCCCCUGCUAACUACGUGCCAGCAGCCGCGGUAAUACGUAGGGGGCAAGCGUUAUCCGGAUUUACUGGGUGUAAAGGGAGCGUAGACGGCAGUGCAAGUCUGGAGUGAAAGGCGGGGGCUCAACCCGUGGACUGCUCUGGAAACUGUACGGCUGGAGUGCAGGAGAGGUAAGUGGAAUGCGUGGUGUAGCGGUGAAAUGCGUAGAUAUUAGGCGGAACACCAGUGGCGAAGGCGGCUUACUGGACCGUAACUGACGUUGAGGCUCGAAAGCGUGGGGAGCAAACAGGAUUAGAUACCCUUGUAGUC
rnacentral:rRNA from 1 species